GACGAACCGUGCAAACGUUGUUCGGAAUCACUGGGCUCAAAGGGCGCGUAGGCGGGCAGCGAAGUCAGGGGUGAAAUCUUUCGGCUUAACCGGAAAAUAGCCUUUGAUACUGGCUGUCUUGAGGGAGGUAGGGGCAUGUGGAACUUCCGGUGGAGCGGUGAAAUGCGUUGAUAUCGGAAGGAACGCCGGUGGCGAAAGCGACGUGCUGGACCUUUUCUGACGCUGAGGCGCGAAAGCUAGGGUAGCGAACGGG
rnacentral:rRNA from 1 species